UGUAUCUCCAUGUACACGCAUUGUUUUAAAGAAUUACUCAGCCGCUUGGUUGAUAUGUACGGUAUUGUUGUAUGUGUGUGUUCUUAAUAUCAUAUGUGACCUUGUUACCGAAAUAAUAGCCAUUGAAAAUUUACGGAAGAUCAUCGUAACUCCAAAAGAAGAUAGUCGUAACUUGCUGACAAAUAACUUGAAAGAUAAUCGUAACUGUAUAAAAUAUGUCUAUGAUCAUAGUAACU
rnacentral:lncRNA from 1 species